GACGAACGCUGGCGGCGUGCCUAAUACAUGCAAGUAGAACGCACAGUUUAUACCGUAGCUUGCUACACCAUACACUGUGAGUUGCGAACGGGUGAGUAACGCGUAGGUAACCUGCCUGGUAGCGGGGGAUAACUAUUGGAAACGAUAGCUAAUACCGCAUAAUAUUGAUUAUUGCAUGAUAAUUGAUUGAAAGAUGCUAUUGCAUCACUACCAGAUGGACCUGCGUUGUAUUAGCUAGUAGGGGAGGUAACGGCUCACCUAGGCGACGAUACAUAGCCGACCUGGGAGGGUGGUCGGCCCCCCUGGGACUGAGACACGGCCCAGACUUCUACGGGAGGGAGCAGGAGGGGAAUCUCCGGAAUGGACGAAAGGCUGAACGAGCAAAGCCGGGUGAGGGGAGAAGGGUUUCGGAUCGUAAAGCUCUGUUGUAAGGGAAGAAACGGUGGUGGAGUGGAAAGUUCACGCUGUGACGGUAUCUUAUCAGAAAGGGACGGCUAACUACGUG
rnacentral:rRNA from 1 species